UUCCGCGACCGCAAAUCCCAGCAGGCAGUGCGCCCUUCAGCGCCGGCCCCAGGGCCGGGAAGGGUCCAGGAGGCUGGGAUUUAUCCGGUCAGAGCUCGCGGGUCUGGAGCUGCUGGCUCGGUGUCCUCACUCGCUGUUCCUUGACUUCUCUUCUCUCGCCGUACAGUGGCGGCACCGAGGAGUCGGUGCUGGGGGGAUAAUCUCCAUUAGUCACCCUCCAUGCUCGGGGUAAUGUAAGUCAAAUCGGGGUGCAGGAGCAAAACAAGCCCCUUAGCCUCGGCUUUCGACUCGUCGGCCGCGCCUCAGCACUUCCUGCAUCAUUUCACUCCUCCCUAACCCUCGUCCGCUGCAGGAGCCGUGUUAGUCACCACGAACGCUAGAGGUGGGCGCCUCCGGCCCAGGGUGGGGCCCCCCUCCGAUUCCCAAGCGCGGUGGUUCUCAAGCUCCAGCGUGCAUCUCCCGGAGGACUUCAUAAAACACAGAUUGACAGACCCCGGAGUUUCCUUUUCAGGAGGUCUGGGCUCUGACCCCAGAAUUUGCAAAUCUAACAAGCUGCCAGGAGAUGCAGAUGCCGCUCAUCUAGGACCAUGCUUCAGAACCACUGCCCAGCUUCCCCAGGGGCCUGGCAUCCAGUAGGGCCAGGUAAUACCAGAAAACCAGCCUGUCAACCUGAACACAGAACUUUGAACAGGAUGGGCGUCAGUUAUACGUGGAAGAUGAGCUCAGCAAUUUAAGAGAUAAAUUUGGCUCCAAUCAGAACUGAGGACAUGUGAUGGUUGACCUGGCAGUGUCACGGCUCCCAAACGGAAACAAGCAUUGUUCCCUGUACUAGACGUAUGUUUCAACUCUUGAUCCUUAAGACUCUGAUGGUGUUUUUUAAACAUACAGCCAUCCUGGCUAAAAAUGUCCAAACCAGACUGUUUUUAUACAUAUUGUUUCAUUUAAUAAAGGUAAAUAAAGUAGAUGUUAUUAUUAUCUUAAUUUUAUGUAGAAGGAAGUUGAGGCUAAGGGGAUUAAGACUCUUGUUCAGGCUCACACAACUUGUGGUAAGUGCUGAGACUUGGAUCCAGGGCUUCUGAUUCCAAAUCUUGUAAUGGUUCCUACUCAAAAGCUCUCAAAUCCUCUGAGAGACAGAAAUUGGAUAAAUAUACCCAAAUGCCUCACAGAACUUAUUAUCAUGAGUGCUUAAUUGUUAUAUUAGCAAUUCGUGAUAUAAAUGAAAUGCUGGAAACAUAAGGUAGGAAGGAUUUAAUUCUUUUAUUUAUCAUUGAAAAUAGUGGAAUUCUGUUAAAGCAAAACACAUUAUUAUGAAUAUUUGCAUAGGCUAAAAGUAAAAUCAUGUCGCCAGAAACCUACAUACCUACAGUGGGAACGUGAAUGAUAGCUCAUUAAAAGUAACAAUGAUAAUCAAGGGUUACACUAUCUCUAAAGAGAAGAGAAUAGUAAUUGGCUCAAGAUGGCAAACUCAGCAUCUUUACCAUGAAAAAGCCCCUAAAAAUGUCAGAAAAGAUAUAUUUUGGGGAAGAAUAAAUCCAGCACUGGACAAUAAGGAUGUACCAUCAAUGGAUCAGACAUUUCCUCUUGUGAAGGAAAAAAAUAGAUGGAAAUCAACUGACAGAGGAAACUGCGUGCUUAAACACUGGCACCACUGGGUUCUUGAAGAUCAUGGGAUAGCUUUAAGAUUCUGAGAUUUUGAAUCUGAAAUUCUAUAGUUAGGCAAAAUAAUAUGCAAGAAGGAAGGCAAAAUAAAGGCAUUUUCAAAACAGUCAAGAACUCAGAAAAUGUACUCUCACAGAUGAUAUUGAUGACACACUCCAGAAAAAUCACAAACCUAAAGAAGAGAAAGACAUGAGAUAUAAGAAAUAUAGGUAUAUAAAGAAAUCAGUAAAAAUUGUAGUUAUAUCUGAAUCAUAUUGGUAUGUAAUAAGAGUGAAAUGUUUUAUGGGUAAUUUCUAGAAGAAUAGAAAUUUCAUGCAUUUUUCAAUCCGACAAAAGGCAGGAAAAGGGAUAAUAGAGCAACAAGAAAUCAUAUAGUAAAUUAAAAACAUUAAAUCAUAAUAAAGAAGUAAAAUGUACAUAAUUAUCAGUAAUCACAAAAAGUGUGAAUGUUAUGUUUUUCUAUUAAAAGGCAACCUCUUUGAUUUCCAUUAAAAGUGGUUGAAAAACUU